UACGUAGGGAGCAAGCGUUGUUCGGAUUUACUGGGCGUAAAGGGCGCGUAGGCGGCGUGUCAAGUCGAUUGUGAAAUCUCCGGGCUUAACUCGGAACGGCCAAUCGAUACUGACGUGCUAGAGUGCAGAAAGGGCAAUCGGAAUUCUUGGUGUAGCGGUGAAAUGCGUAGAUAUCGGGAGGAAUACCAGUGGCGAAGGCGGCUGCCUGGCCUGUUCUUGACGCUGAGGCGCGAAAGCUGGGGGAGCAAACGGG
rnacentral:rRNA from 1 species